AAUCCUACGGGGGGCAGCAGUGGGGAAUAUUGGGCAAUGGGCGCAAGCCUGACCCAGCAACGCCGCGUGAAGGAAGAAGGCUUUCGGGUUGUAAACUUCUUUUAUGAGGGACGAAACAAAUGACGGUACCUCAUGAAUAAGCCACGGCUAACUACGUGCCAGCAGCCGCGGUAAUACGUAGGUGGCAAGCGUUAUCCGGAUUUACUGGGUGUAAAGGGUGUGUAGGCGGGACUGCAA
rnacentral:rRNA from 1 species